rnacentral:tRNA from 2 species
GGCGAGGUUCCCGAGUGGUCAAAGGGGGCAGACUGUAAAUCUGUUGGCAUUGCCUUCGAUGGUUCGAACCCAUCUCUCGCCACCA